rnacentral:rRNA from 1 species
CUUACACAUGCAAGUCGAACGGAAAGGCCCUGCUUUUGUGGGGUGCUCGAGUGGCGAACGGGUGAGUAACACGUGAGUAACCUGCCCUUGACUUUGGGAUAACUUCAGGAAACUGGGGCUAAUACCGGAUAGGAGCUCCUGCUGCAUGGUGGGGGUUGGAAAGUUUCGGCGGUUGGGGAUGGACUCGCGGCUUAUCAGCUUGUUGGUGGGGUAGUGGCUUACCAAGGCUUUGACGGGUAGCCGGCCUGAGAGGGUGACCGGCCACAUUGGGACUGAGAUACGGCCCAGACUCCUACGGGAGGCAGCAGUGGGGAAUAUUGCACAAUGGGCGGAAGCCUGAUGCAGCAACGCCGCGUGCGGGAUGACGGCCUUCGGGUUGUAAACCGCUUUCGCCUGUGACGAAGCGUGAGUGACGGUAAUGGGUAAAGAAGCACCGGCUAACUACGUGCCAGCAGCCGCGGUGAUACGUAGGGUGCGAGCGUUGUCCGGAUUUAUUGGGCGUAAAGGGCUCGUAGGUGGUUGAUCGCGUCGGAAGUGUAAUCUUGGGGCUUAACCCUGAGCGUGCUUUCGAUACGGGUUGACUUGAGGAAGGUAGGGGAGAAUGGAAUUCCUGGUGGAGCGGUGGAAUGCGCAGAUAUCAGGAGGAACACCAGUGGCGAAGGCGGUUCUCUGGGCCUUUCCUGACGCUGAGGAGCGAAAGCGUGGGGAGCGAACAGGCUUAGAUACCCUGGUAGUCCACGCUGUAAACGGUGGGUACUAGGUGUGGGGUCCAUUCCACGGGUUCCGUGCCGUAGCUAACGCUUUAAGUACCCCGCCUGGGGAGUACGGCCGCAAGGCUAAAACUCAAAGGAAUUGACGGGGCCCCGCACAAGCGGCGGAGCAUGCGGAUUAAUUCGAUGCAACGCGUAGAACCUUACCUGGGUUUGACAUGGAUCGGGAGUGCUCAGAGAUGGGUGUGCCUCUUUUGGGGUCGGUUCACAGGUGGUGCAUGGCUGUCGUCAGCUCGUGUCGUGAGAUGUUGGGUUAAGUCCCGCAACGAGCGCAACCCUUGUUCACUGUUGCCAGCACGUUAUGGUGGGGACUCAGUGGAGACCGCCGGGGUCAACUCGGAGGAAGGUGGGGAUGACGUCAAGUCAUCAUGCCCCUUAUGUCCAGGGCUUCACGCAUGCUACAAUGGCUGGUACAGAGAGUGGCGAGCCUGUGAGGGUGAGCGAAUCUCGGAAAGCCGGUCUCAGUUCGGAUUGGGGUCUGCAACUCGACCUCAUGAAGUCGGAGUCGCUAGUAAUCGCAGAUCAGCAACGCUGCGGUGAAUACGUUCCCGGGGCUUGUACACACCGCCCGUCAAGUCAUGAAAGUUGGUAACACCCGAAGCCGGUGGCCUAACCGUUGUGGGGGAGCCGUCGAAGGUGGGACUGGUGAUUAGG